GGAAGCUGCAAUCCCUGGGCGAUAACCUGUCUCGAAAACAGGUGUACAGCUAUGUGCUGUAGAGGUUCGAUUCCUCCAGUUUCCGCCA
rnacentral:tRNA from 1 species